rnacentral:rRNA from 1 species
GAUGAAAAGCACUUUGAAAAGAGAGUUAAAAAGUACGUGAAAUUGUUGAAAGGGAAGCGUUUAUGACCAGACUUGGGCUUGGUUAAUCAUCUGGGGUUCUCCCCAGUGCACUUUUCCAGUCCAGGCCAGCAUCAGUUUUCGCCGGGGGAUAAAGGCUUCGGGAAUGUGGCUCUCUCCGGGGAGUGUUAUAGCCCGUUGCGUAAUACCCUGGCGGGGACUGAGGUUCGCGCAUCUGCAAGGAUGCUGGCGUAAUGGUCAUCAACGACCCGUCUUGAAACACGGACCAAG